AAGUCCCUGUGAUUCUCUGGAUUCUGAUCCUAGCUAGGAAUGCUAUUAUCUUUUACUGAUGUUAUUGUCAUUAAUUUGAGAUAGGUGUUUUACUGGGCUGAAGAAGAACAAACCGGAUCUGGAUCAACAUUGGAUGCACAGUUACAGUUCUGUUAUCCUGACAAAUAAGGCUGAAAUUCACAUGGUCACUACAUGGAAAGAGAAGGUCUUGGUAGUUGGAGCUCGAAAGUGAAUUUACUGUGUUGUGGAACCACAGCCUAAGCACUUUCUUUUGAGUUGAAAAGGACAAUGAGAGAACACAGUAUCUCUGAAGAAAUUGGAAUAAAACAGCUCUGCGGACUACAUAAUCAGAGAGAUGGUGCAUGAGAAGAUGGUCCACUCCAGGAAAAGUGUACUGAAGCACUGUCAGAGACAGAGCCACAACUGGUUUGUUCUCUGGGAGGAGUUGAUGGAGUGUGGGGAUUGGUCUUGUUAUAUCAGUGAAAUUUAGCUAUGUAAGUGAAUUACCACCCACAAGUUUUCAGCUGAGUAGGUUUCGUUUCUGGCUUCAGGUUGUGCAAGGUGGGAGAUGUGAGAGAGGAGAAGGCGGAUGCAAUCAUCUUUGGUCUUUCAUAGAGCUGCUGUCAUUUCUACAGGACACUGCUCGGAUUGUAAAAACAGCAAUUAGAAAUGUUGAUCUGAACAGCAGCCCUGUGCAGUUUGAGAGAAAA